UACGUAGGUGGCAAGCGUUGUCCGGAAUUACUGGGUGUAAAGGGAGCGCAGGCGGGACAGCAAGUUGGAUGUGAAAUACCGCAGCUCAACUGCGGAGCUGCAUCCAAAACUGUUGUUCUUGAGUGGAGUAGAGGUAGGCGGAAUUCCGAGUGUAGCGGUGAAAUGCGUAGAUAUUCGGAGGAACACCAGUGGCGAAGGCGGCCUACUGGGCUCUUACUGACGCUGAGGCUCGAAAGUGUGGGGAGCAAAC
rnacentral:rRNA from 1 species